UUUCCGUAGGUGAACCAGCGGAAGGAUCAUUAUUGUAUAACCGAGGUGCGAGGGCUGUCGCUGACCCGACAGGUCGUGCACGCCCGAGUGCCCUCACACACAUCCAUCUCACCCCUAUGUGCACCACCGCGUGGGUCCCCCUUUGGCUUGUUCGGAGGGGGGCUUACGUUUUCACACAAACUUUGUAUGCAGUGUAGAAUGUAUUUUUUGUUUUUGCGAUCACGCAAUCAAUACAACUUUCAACAACGGAUCUCUUGGCUCUC
rnacentral:misc_RNA from 1 species